rnacentral:rRNA from 1 species
UACGGAGGAUCCAAGCGUUAUCCGGAAUCAUUGGGUUUAAAGGGUCCGUAGGCGGUUUUGUAAGUCAGUGGUGAAAGCCCAUCGCUCAACGGUGGAACAGCCAUUGAUACUGCAAGACUUGAAUUAUUAGGAAGUAACUAGAAUAUGUAGUGUAGCGGUGAAAUGCUUAGAUAUUACAUGGAAUACCAAUUGCGAAGGCAGGUUACUACUAAUAUAUUGACGCUGAUGGACGAAAGCGUGGGGAGCGAACAGG